CAACCCUUUGUGAACAUACCUACAACUGUUGCUUCGGCGGGUAGGGUCUCCGCGACCCUCCCGGCCUCCCGCCUCCGGGCGGGUCGGCGCCCGCCGGAGGAUAACCAAACUCUGAUUUAACGACGUUUCUUCUGAGUGGUACAAGCAAAUAAUCAAAACUUUUAACAACGGAUCUCUUGGUUCUGGCAUCGAUGAAGAACGCAGCGAAAUGCGAUAAGUAAUGUGAAUUGCAGAAUUCAGUGAAUCAUCGAAUCUUUGAACGCACAUUGCGCCCGCCAGCAUUCUGGCGGGCAUGCCUGUUCGAGCGUCAUUUCAACCCUCAAGCUCUGCUUGGUGUUGGGGCCCUACAGCCGAUGUAGGCCCUCAAAGGUAGUGGCGGACCCUCCCGGAGCCUCCUUUGCGUAGUAACUUUACGUCUCGCACUGGGAUCCGGAGGGACUCUUGCCGUAAAACCCCCCAAUUUUCCAAAGGUUGACCUCGGAUCAGGUAGGAAUACCCGCUGAACUUA
rnacentral:rRNA from 1 species